GAGAAACAGGGAUGGAGGGAGGGGGGGGUGGCAGAGAGAGGGGAGGGAGGGGAGGGGAGGGGGGGUCUGUGAGAGUGGCCGCAAGAUCAACACAGUGCCUCUUUUCUCCUCUGUCGCUUUUCCCUCCUUUUUCUCUGCACCCCCACCCCCCUCUCCUUCUUCCCCGUUUUA